GUCCCCGUAGCUCAGUAGGAUAGAGCGUCAGAUUCCUAAUCUGAAGGCCACUGGUUCGAAUCCAGUCGGGGACACCA
rnacentral:tRNA from 1 species